AACACGUUGUCUGCGCUCCACCGUGAGGGCGGGGCGGGCACCCCCCGGCACCCCCCAGCACCCCGCUCCCCUCCCCACCCCCCAGGCGGCGGCUGCACCCACGUCCCGCCGGGGCCGGUGGGGACUUGGGGCUGCGCCUCCGCGGCUCGGGGCAGGUCAGCCCGCGAACGUGGCCGGACCCGGGGCCCAAACCCAGCGCUCGCCACGCAGCCGGGCGCGUCUCGUCCGAAGCGCACGCCGAGCGCGAGUAGCCUCGGCUUGCAAAACCAAAAAAAAAAAAAAAAAAAAAGUGCAGACUCGGAGCUGGGGGGGUUGACGCAGCUCGUGCCCCCCUACCCACCCCCGCACCCCCGGCUCCGGGGCUCGUGCACACGCGGGCCCCCCGACAGGUCCCGGGUCCCGGCCCCGGGCGAGGAGGCAGGGAGGCUGGGGCAGGUCGAGGCAGCGCCCCCGCCCCUCCCGCGGCCGCGAGCCCAGCCCGACGUGCAGGCGGCCCGCCCCCAAACCCAGACGUCUGCAGGAGGACAAGCCUGGGCAUCCCCGCCCCCGCCCCCGCCCCGGGACCCGGAGCGGGCGGCGCACGCAGUCCGGGCGGCCCCCUUGCACGCCCCCGUCCCCCCACUUCCCGCCCAGCCGCACACUUUGCAAACUCCGCAGGAGCCCGGGCCCAGCGGGGGGAGCAGGGCGCCCGCGGCCUCCGGGCGCUGCGCAGCCAGGCUCGCCCCGCAGCGCCAGCGGGGCACUAUAUUUAGCGCCGAGCUCUCCGCCUCAAUUCCUCUUCUUUUUUUGCACCCCGGGCUCCCAGAACGACUAGGUCGGGGGAAGCGGGAGGGGGGGGCGGGGAGCAGCGGGGAAAGAACAGCUGCGCCUCCGCCCCCCGCUCGAGCUCCGCAGGCGCCAAUCGCGAGCCGAGGCUACUUUUCCGCCAAUGAAGCGGCCGCAAGUGCGGGAGCCUCGGCGGCAGCCAAUGGGGCCCCGGCCGGGGCGGCGAGACGGGCGCGGCGGGGCCAAUGGGGCCCGAGGCCGGGAGAGGUAAUGUGA
rnacentral:lncRNA from 1 species